rnacentral:rRNA from 1 species
UACGUAGGGUGCGAGCGUUGUCCGGAAUUAUUGGGCGUAAAGAGCUCGUAGGCGGUUUGUUGCGUCUAUCGUGAAAACCUGCAGCUUAACUGUGGGCUUGCGGUGGAUACGGGCAGACUUGAGUUCGGUAGGGGAGACUGGAAUUCCUGGUGUAGCGGUGGAAUGCGCAGAUAUCAGGAGGAACACCGGUGGCGAAGGCGGGUCUCUGGGCGGUAACUGACGCUGAGGAGCGAAAGCGUGGGGAGCGAACAGG